rnacentral:rRNA from 1 species
UCCUGGCUCAGGAUGAACGCUAGCGGCAGGCUAACACAUGCAAGUCGAGGGGCAUCGGGAGUAGCAAUACUUGCCGGCGACCGGCGCAAGGGUGCGUAACGCGUGAGCAACAUGCCCGUAUCAGGGGGAUAAUCCAUGGAAACGUGGUCUAAUACCCCAUAGUAAUUAUGUAAGGCAUCUUAUAUAAUUUAAAGCUUUGGUGGAUACGGAUUGGCUCGCGCGACAUUAGCUAGAUGGUAAGGUAACGGCUUACCAUGGCUACGAUGUCUAGGGGUUCUGAGAGGAAGGUCCCCCACACUGGAACUGAGACACGGUCCAGACUCCUACGGGAGGCAGCAGUGAGGAAUAUUGGACAAUGGAUGGAAAUCUGAUCCAGCCAUGCCGCGUGCAGGAAGACGGCCCUAUGGGUUGUAAACUGCUUUUGUAUGGGAGCAAUAAGGGCUACGCGUAGUCCGAUGAGAGUACCAUACGAAUAAGCACCGGCUAACUCCGUGCCAGCCGCCGC